UAAGUAUUCACAGCCUUUGCCAUGAAGCUUAAAAUUGAUCUUGAGAGGUUUCGACACUUAUUUGGAGUCCAUCUGGGGUAAAUUCAGUUGACUGGACAUGAUUUGGAAAGACACACACCUGACUACAUAUAAGGUCCCACAGUUGACACUCAGAGCACAAACCAAGCAUGAAGUUGAAAGAAUUGUCUGUAGACCUCAGAGACGGAAUUGUCUCAAGGUGCAAAUCUGGGGAAGGGAACAGAAACAUUUCAGCUGCUUUGAACGUCUCAAUGAGCGCAUUGACCUCCAUAAUCUUUAAAUGGAAGAAGUUCAGAUCCACCAGGACUCUUCCUAGGGCUGGCUGCCCGUGUACACUGAGCGAUCAGGUGAGAAGGGCCUUAGUCAGGGAGGUGACCAAGAACCUGAUGGUCACUCUGUCAGAGCUCCAGCAUUCCUCUAUGGAGAGAGGAGAACCUUCCAGAAGGACAACCAUCUCUGCAGCAAUCCACCAAUCAGGCCUGUAUGGCAGAGUGGCCAGAAAGUAUUUUCCUCAAAAAUCAUGUCUUAAAAAAGGAGGGUUUCAUCUUAUGUUCAGACAAACACAAUAACUAAAAAUAAAUGGCUCACAAAACACUAAAUCAUAACUACAGUGUUUUCCGGAGUAUAACUUGCAUUUUUAUUUUUUACUACUUUGGGAGACCCUGCAGUUUAUACUCAGGUGCAACCUACAUAAUGAUAAUUCCAGCAACUAUUUAUAUCAGACUUGCACAUGAAUCAAAGGAUUAAACAAAUAAACUUUAAAAAUAAAAGAAUAAUUGCCAAUAAGACGUACCAUCUCAGCAUCUUGAUAUGCUACACCUGUGAGGUGGGACGGAUUAUCUCAGCAAAGGAGAAGUGCUCACAAACACAGAUUUAGACAGAUUUGUGAACAAUAUUUCAGAGAAGUAGGUCUUUGUGUAUAAAGAAAAUGUUUCAGAUAUUUGAGCUCAGCUCAUGAAAAAAUGGGAACAAAAACAGAAGUGUUGCAUUUAUAUUCUUGAUCAGUGCACUU